rnacentral:rRNA from 1 species
AACGCUGGCGGCGCGCCUAAUACAUGCAAGUCGAGCGAGAAGGUGUAGCAAUACACUUGUAAAGCGGCGAACGGGUGAGGAAUACAUGGGUAAUCUACCAUCGAGUGGGGAAUAACCAACCGAAAGGUUGGCUAAUACCGCGUACGCUUCCGAGUCUUCGGGGUUGGAAGGAAAGCCGUGCUGUGAGUACGGCGCUCUUUGAUGAGCUCAUGUCCUAUCAGCUCGUUGGUAGGGUAACGGCCUACCAAGGCUUUGACGGGUAGCUGGUCUGAGAGGACGAUCAGCCACACUGGCACUGCGACACGGGCCAGACUCCUACGGGAGGCAGCAGUAAGGAAUAUUGCGCAAUGGGCGAAAGCCUGACGCAGCGACGCCGCGUGGGGGAUGAAGGUCUUCGGAUUGUAAACCCCUUUCGGGAGGGAAGAUGGAGCGAGCAAUCGUUCGGACGGUACCUCCAGAAGCAGCCACGGCCAACUUCGUGCCAGCAGCCGCGGUAAUACGAAGGUGGCAAGCGUUGUUCGGAUUCACUGGGCGUACAGGGUGUGUAGGCGGUUUGGUAACCUUCUGUUAAACUUCGGGCCCACCCGGAAAGCCAUGGGUACUGCCAGCUAAAGGUGGAAAAAACCCGGAAUUCCCGGU